GACGAACGCUGGCGGCGUGCUUAACACAUGCAAGUCGAACGGGCCCGCCCCUGUUUUUGGGGGUGAGUUGAGUGGCGAACGGGUGAGUAUCACGUGAGUAACCUGCCCCCUGCUCCUGGAUAACUGCUUGAAAGGGCGGCUAAUACGGGGUGUGCCGGCUGGUCCGCAUGGGCCUGGUCGGGAUAGUUUCAUCUUCGGGUGUUUCGGUGGGGGAUGGGCUCGCGGCCUAUCAGCUUGUUGGUGGGGUGAUGGCCCACCAAGGCGGUGACGGGUAGCCGGCCUGAGAGGGUGGGCGGCCACACUGGGACUGAGACACGGCCCAGACUCCUGCGGGAGGCAGCAGUGGGGGGUAUUGCACAAUGGGCGGAAGCCUGAUGCAGCGACGUCGCGUGAGGGAUGGAGGCCUUCGGGUUGUGAACCUCUUUCUCCGGUGGUGAAGGCCCUGUCCGUUGCGGCGGGGUUGACGGUAGCCGGGUAUGAAGCGCCGGCUAACUACGUG
rnacentral:rRNA from 1 species